UCGAACGUGAUUUUGUGAAAAUUCUUUCGGGAAUGGAAAUGAAAUGAAAGUGGCGAACGGGUGAGUAACACGUGAGCAACCUACCUUACACAGGGGGAUAGCCGUUGGAAACGACGAUUAAUACCGCAUGAGACCACAGAAUCGCAUGAUAUAGGGGUCAAAGAUUUAUCGGUGUAAGAAGGGCUCGCGUCUGAUUAGCUAGUUGGAAGGGUAAAGGCCUACCAAGGCGACGAUCAGUAGCCGGUCUGAGAGGAUGAACGGCCACAUUGGAACUGAGACACGGUCCAAACUCCUACGGGAGGCAGCAGUGGGGAAUAUUGCACAAUGGGGGGAACCCUGAUGCAGCGACGCCGCGUGAGCGAAGAAGGUUUUCGAAUCGUAAAGCUCUGUCCUAUGAGAAGAUAAUGACGGUAUCAUAGGAGGAAGCCCCGGCUAAAUACGUGCCAGCAGCCGCGGUAAUACGUAUGGGGCGAGCGUUGUCCGGAAUUAUUGGGCGUAAAGGGUACGUAGGCGGUUUUUUAAGUCAGGUGUGAAAGCGUGAGGCUUAACCUCAUUAAGCACUUGAAACUGGAAGACUUGAGUGAAGGAGAGGAAAGUGGAAUUCCUAGUGUAGCGGUGAAAUGCGUAGAUAUUAGGAGGAAUACCGGUGGCGAAGGCGACUUUCUGGA
rnacentral:rRNA from 1 species